GUGUUCAGUUCGGCAGCACAUGUACUAAACUCGGAAUGAUACAGAGAAGAUUAGCAUGGCCCCUGCACAAGGAUGACACACAAAUUCCUGAAGUGUUCCAUAUUUUU
ensembl:snRNA U6 U6 spliceosomal RNA